UCAAGUUAUUAAGGGUGCAGGGCGGAUGCCUUGGCACUAGGAGCCGAUGAAGGACGUGAUAAGCUGCGAUAAGCUUCGGGGAGUUGCACGUAAACUUUGAUCCGAAGAUUUCCGAAUGAGGAAACUCACUUAGAGUAAUGUCUAAGUAUCAUUAAGUGAAUACAUAGCUUAAUGAGGGGAACUCAGGGAACUGAAACAUCUAAGUACCUGAAGGAAGAGAAAGAAAUUCGAUUCCGUAAGUAGCGGCGAGCGAACGCGGAUUAGCCCAAACCAAUAAAGUUUUCUUUAUUGGGGUUGCGGACAUAUCAUAACGAAGAGGUAUCGUAAUUGAAGAGGUUUGGAAAGACCCACCACAGAAGGUAAUAGUCCUGUAUGUUAAACGAGAAGACUUCAGAUAUGAUCCAGAGUACCACGGGACACGUGAAACCCUGUGGGAAGCAGGAGGGACCACCCUCCAAGGCUAAAUACUACCUAGUGACCGAUAGCGUAUAGUACCGUGAGGGAAAGGUGAAAAGAACCCCGGGAGGGGAGUGAAAUAGAACCUGAAACCCUGCACUUACAAGCUGUGGAAGCACAUUUCUUGUGUGACCGCGUACUUUUUGUAGAACGGGCCAACGAGUUACGUUAAGUAGCAAGGUUAAGCACUUAAGGUGUGGAGCCGUAGCGAAAGCGAGUUUUAACUGAGCGUUCAGUUACUUGACGUAGACCCGAAACCGGGCGACCUACCCAUGAGCAGGAUGAAGCGAAAGUAAAAUUUCGUGGAGGUCCGAACCCACGAGCGUUGAAAAGCUCGGGGAUGACUUGUGGGUAGCGGUGAAAUUCCAAUCGAGCCCGGAGAUAGCUGGUUCUCCCCGAAAUAGCUUUAGGGCUAGCCUCAAGGUGAGAGAUACGGAGGUAGAGCACUGAAUGUCCUAGGGGGUAUUGCACCUACCGAAGACUAUCAAACUCCGAAUGCCGUCAUCUUAUACUUGGGAGUCAGACUGUGGGUGAUAAGAUUCAGAGUCGAAAGGGCAACAGCCCAGAUCGUCAGCUAAGGUCCCUAAAUGUAAGUUAAGUGGUAAAGGAUGUGGGAUUGCACAGACAACCAGGAUGUUGGCUUAGAAGCAGCCACUCAUUCAAAGAGUGCGUAAUAGCUCACUGGUCGAGUGAUCCUGCGCCGAAGAUUUCCGGGGCUAAAACUUACUACCGAAGCUACGGCAUCAGUAAUGAUGGGUAGGGGAGCUUCCCAUACGGGUUGAAGCAUGACCGUAAGGACAUGUGGACAGUAUGGGAGUGAGAAUGUUGGCAUGAGUAGCGAGAUGUGGGUGAGAAUCCCACAGGCCGUAAACCCAAGGUUUCCAGGGGAAGGUUCGUCCGCCCUGGGUUAGUCGGGACCUAAGCUGAGGCCGAAAGGCGUAGGUGAUGGACAACAGGUUGAUAUUCCUGUACUACCGAUAACCGUUUGAGAGAAGGGAUGACACAGUAGGAUAAGCUAAGCACACUGUUGGUUAUGUGUGCCCAAGCAUUGAGGCAGUCAAAGUAGGCAAAUCCGCUUUGAUAAUGCUGGGAUGUGAUGGGGAGCGAAAUUUAGUAGCGAAGUAGCUGAUUUCACACUGUCAAGAAAAGUCUCUAUCGAGGUUAAAGGUACCCGUACCGCAAACCGACACAGGUGGGUGAGGAGAGUAUCCUAAGGCCAGCGAGAGAACUGUUGUUAAGGAACUCGGCAAAAUGACCCCGUAACUUAGGGAUAAGGGGUGCCACCAUCAGGUGGCCGCAGAGAAUAGGCCCAAGCGACUGUUUACCAAAAACAUAGGUUUCUGCUAAGUCGCAAGACGAUGUAUAGGAGCUGACGCCUGCCCGGUGCUGGAAGGUUAAGGGGAUCUGUUAGAGCAAUCGAAGCAGUGAACUUAAGCCCCAGUAAACGGCGGCCGUAACUAUAACGGUCCUAAGGUAGCGAAAUUCCUUGUCGGGUAAGUUCCGACCCGCACGAAAGGCGUAACGAUUUGGGCACUGUCUCAACAACAGACUCGGUGAAAUUGUAAUUCCGGUGAAGAUGCCGGAUACCUGCGACAGGACGGAAAGACCCCAUGGAGCUUUACUGUAGCUUGACAUUGGGUCUUGGUACUACAUGUACAGGAUAGGUGGGAGGCUUUGAAACCAGGACGCCAGUUUUGGCGGAGCCAUCCUUGGGAUACCACCCUUGUAGUACUGGGACUCUAACCAUAGGCCAUGAAUCUGGUCUUGGGACACUGUCAGGUGGGCAGUUUGACUGGGGCGGUCGCCUCCCAAAAGGUAACGGAGGCGCUCAAAGGUUCUCUCAGUACGGUCGGAAAUCGUACGUAGAGUGUAAAGGCAAAAGAGAGCUUGAUUGCAAGACAUACAGGUCGAGCAAGGAUGAAAAUCGGACUUAGUGAUCCGGUGGUUCUGCGUGGAAGGGCCAUCGCUCAACGGAUAAAAGCUACCCUGGGGAUAACAGGCUUAUCUCCCCCAAGAGUCCACAUCGACGGGGAGGUUUGGCACCUCGAUGUCGGCUCAUCACAUCCUGGGGCUGUAGUAGGUCCCAAGGGUUGGGCUGUUCGCCCAUUAAAGUGGUACGCGAGCUGGGUUCAGAACGUCGUGAGACAGUUCGGUCCCUAUCCGUCGCAGGCGUAGGAAAUUUGAGAAGACCUGUCCUUAGUACGAGAGGACCGGGAUGGACGUACCUCUGGUGUACCAGUUGUUCUGCCAAGGGCAUGGCUGGGUAGCUAUGUACGGAAUGGAUAAGCGCUGAAAGCAUCUAAGCGCGAAGCCAACUUCAAGAUAAGAUUUCCCACCGCAAGGGUAAGACCCCAGAAAGACUAUCUGGUUGAUAGGUCGAAGGUGUAAGUGCAGCAAUGUAUUUAGCUUAUCGAUACUAAUAGGUCGAGGACUUGACCAA
rnacentral:rRNA from 1 species